rnacentral:rRNA from 1 species
UAGCGUAAUCACUUGUCUCUUAAAUGGGGACUCGUAUGAAUGGCCAACUGAGAGCCCAACUGUCUCCUACAACUAACCAAUGAAACUGAUCUUUCAGUACAAAAGCUGAAAUACUACCACAAGACGAAAAGACCCUGUGGAGCUUUAAACCUACAACUAUACAAAUUUACUCACACCCCGAAAGAUAUAACAAAUUUGUCCUAAUAGCUUUAAUUUUAAGUUGGGGCGACUACGGAGAAAAACAGAACCUCCAUGAAAUAGAUUACAACUCUAUUACACGGCUUACAAGCCAAAUAUUCUUAACACUGACCCAGUAAUACUGAAAAUCGGACCAAGUUACCCCAGGGAUAACAGCGCCAUCCUCCUCGAGAGUCCAUAUCGCCAGUGGGGUUUACGACCGCGAUGUUGGAUCAGGACACCC